GAUGAACGCUAGCGGCAGGCUUAACACAUGCAAGUCGAGGGGCAGCGCGAUGUAGCAAUACAUUGGCGGCGACCGGCGCACGGGUGCGUAACACGUAUGCUACCUUCCUCUUACUGGGGCAUAGCCCGGAGAAAUCCGGAUUAAUACCCCAUAAUACCUUGAAGGGCAUUCUUCGGGGGUUGAAAGUCACAACGGUAAGAGAUGGGCAUGCGCACGAUUAGCUAGUUGGUGAGGUAAUGGCUCACCAAGGCUACGAUCGUUAGGGGGCCUGAGAGGGUUACUCCCCCACACUGGUACUGAGACACGGACCA
rnacentral:rRNA from 1 species